UCCUUAUUCUCGAAUGAUUGUCUUUCUUUGUUCCCAUGCCUUCUAUCAUAUUUUCCAAAAAAUUUUUGAUGGCCUUCAUACUCUCACCAUAAGAUUCUCACCGUAGUGUCAUUGUUCUACUGCAACUGGAUAGAGGUUUUCCUUUUCAUUCCCUAUUGAAACAAAUGGGAUUAUCACAAACUGCUUUCUCUGUAAAUUAAUACUUUGGUAACGAAGAUACCUAUUGAAAAUUUUAUUCCAAACUUAAAAGAGCACUUUCAAUUAUUUAAUAUUUUAAAUUUCAUAAAAAGAGAAAAUCUUUUGAAAACUCCGUCUUCUUCUCAUUGCAAUACAUCAACACCAAAUUGAAACCAGAUUCUUGAGGUCCAUCACAAUCUGUUUCUCCUAACGAGCUUGUGAUUGGCUUGGGAUGUUUCCACCAUGGCCCAAAUUUAGGAUCAAUGGUCUUGGAAGUGGAAGACAGCUGCCAAGAUGAGUGCUUCUCCUUUGUCCACGUAGAAGGGAUGCAAAAAAAAUUAAGAACAAAACUUCUGUACUUUGCUUCUGCAAUUUCGAUUUUUCUCUAACCCUCUUUAAUAGCGAUUUUUGUUGAAGAAAGAAGAAGAAUUCAUGCAAGUCAGACAGAAGAAGACGACACAAGGAUUCUUAAUGUGGUUCGGUAUCUCAAACCCGAUAGUAUUCGGACAUUUUCGAAUCUUGAGAUGACGAACAGUCUUUAUCAACAUAUUUGAGGCAUUGUCUGAGGAAGAAGAAGAAUUCAUGCAAGGCAGAAAGAAGAAGAUACAAGGAUUUUUAACGUGGUUCGGCAAGCUUGGCUUACAUCCACGAGAGGAGCUUUAGAUUUCUGAUUCUUGGAGGAAUUGCAAGGAAAAAAUGAAAUCAGAUAAGUUUACUACUGAUUUCUCCUUUUUGAUCCUUUAUAUACUUAGUAUUUAGAAGUUUGUUGAGAGAUUAACCGAAAGUAAAUGAUUGAUUUCACUAAAGUAGUUACAACUUUACAAACUUGAUGUUGGUGGCGGUGUUUGUGCCCUAAUAAUUUCGUUUUGGUUCAAUUUUUAUAAUUGUUACCAUCAACACCUCAUAAUAUAAUUUCUUUUUCAUUAUUAUU